rnacentral:rRNA from 1 species
GUGAGGAAUAUUGCGCAAUGGAGGCAACUCUGACGCAGCCAUGCCGCGUGCAGGAAGAAGGCGCUACGCGUUGUAAACUGCUUUUAACCGGGAAGAAACCCCAGGACGUGUCCUGGGUUGACGGUACCGGAGGAAUAAGCACCGGCUAACUUCGUGCCAGCAGCCGCGGUAAUACGAAGGGUGCAAGCGUUAUCCGGAUUCAUUGGGUUUAAAGGGUGCGUAGGCGGAGCGUUAAGUCAGUGGUGAAAUCCUGCAGCUUAACUGUAGACUUGCCAUUGAUACUGGCGCUCUUGAGUGCGCUUGAAGUGGGCGGAAUGUGCCGUGUAGCGGUGAAAUGUUUAGAUAUGGCACAGAACACCAAUUGCGAAGGCAGCUCACUAAGGCGAUACUGACGCUGAGGCACGAAAGCGUGGGGAUCGAACAGGAUUAGAAACCCGUGUAGUCC